AAAUUCGGACUUAAGUUGGGCAAAGGAUUUUAAGAUAUCGCUCAGGAAUAGAUCUUGGAUCUUAAGGAUACCAGCAUCUUUCCAAACUCUAAACCCAGUAUCAGAGCAGGAUUGGGGAAAGUCAGGGUUAUGGCACACAGGAGCAAGAAUAGUAUACCGAUUAGUGACACCAAAAUGCCUACGAAUCUGGUUCCACGAUUUAAGAGUAUUUCUCACAAUAGGAUUUUCACUUAUUCCAGGGAGUGAAAUUGCCCCAUUGAUGAACAGCAGUUCGAAAAGAGCCGACCGACAACCGACGGCCUAUAGGUCAAGGAAAGUUGAAUUGGUAUCAUUUCUUAUCCACUCCGCUAUAUAUCUAACCUGAGAAGCCCAUAUAAUAUCCUCGGUAAUACAUUCAUUUUUACAAUGGCAAUCUGGCCAAGUAAUGAUAUUGAUAAGGGGUUCCAUCUUUGAAGGUGUGGUGAGACGCCUCCUCAUCUUGUUUUAUUUUGGCUGGACUUCCUUUGUUUCCCUGUUUGCCUGGUUUGGCUUUACUCUUUUCCAGGGCUUCCUCCCCUCCCCCGGCGCUGAGGCUGAGUGAGACCACACACCUGCUCCACAUCUCCAAUCAAGGCACUUUAAGAAGCCUGCAGCCCUCAGUCUCAGCGCCUGAGUAUUGUCUACCCUUCCUCGUGGUAAAGACGCGUCUCCUGGCCAACUUCGUUUGUAUAACCUUCAGAACUUUGCUCCUCGUGACUCUUUUCAUGUUCAAUAACUCCUGUCUCCUCUGGUUUUUCCUGCAGUGUCUCCAGCCCACACGACAGCCAGCCAACCAGCCUACCGGACAUCCUCUGUUUGCAUCUACUACCUUUUGUUU